rnacentral:rRNA from 1 species
AUUGAACGCUGGCGGCAGGCCUAACACAUGCAAGUCGAGCGAGCGGCGGACGGGUGAGUAAUGUAUGGGGACUGCCCGAUAGAGGGGGAUAACUACUGGAAACGGUGGCUAAUACCGCAUACUAUCGGAUAACCCAUAUGGGAUUAGCUAGUAGGUGGGGUAAAGGCUCACCUAGGCGACGAUCUCUAGCUGGUCUGAGAGGAUGAGUAGCCACACUUGGACCGAGAGACGGCCCCGACUCCUAGGGAGGGAGCAGUGGGGAAUAUUGGACCAUGGGCGCAAGCCUGAUGCCGCCAUGCCGCGUGUAUGAAGGAGGCCGUCGGGUUUUAAAGGUCUUUCCGUCGGGAGGCGUUACCGACAGAAGAAGCACCGGCUAACUCCGUGCCAGCAGCCGCGGUAAUAC